GAAGGUUUCGGAGGAACUUGGAGAGUGGCAGAGGAGUAUAUUAAAACUGCUUUUAGGUCAAACAGGAGGGAGGAUAUAUCGAGUGACAGUGUGAAAUAGAAAGACUACCCUAACCCUAGCUUUCACCUAAGAAUGGAUUGAGUGUUGGAGAGUGAGAGCCUUGUUUUCUCUGCAUAUAUAUACACCGUGAGUGGCAAGUGAAGGAGAGACAUUCAAACAUCUCUAAGGAAACGUUAGAAACUGCAGAAUGCAAGUUGAUGAACCAGAGAAACUUAGAGACCUCAUAAAUCCAGGUAAGGGGAGUUACCAAGAAGUUAUCAUAUGUGUAUAAGGGUUUUUGAGUUGUUAUGUUUUGUAACAUAUUGUUCUCGAUGUUAUUAUUGUUAACCUACUUUGCUUAAGAGGAAGAGUGUUGGCUGUGAUUGGGUAUAAUACCGUUGGGGGCUUGUUUUUGAAUGGAGAGUGUCUCUGUGAUGGUUAUUUUUAUGCUUUCAGAAUGAUCAUAUUGGGUGAGGGUGGUUGAUGAUUGACGCAUACUUUCAUGAUGUGUUUCGGCUCCUUGGCAAUACCUUGAGUGCAUGAUGUUGUUUCUUAUAUGCUAUCAUGUUCUUUUCUGUUUUCUCUGAUCUUAAUUUAGUACUGUCAAAUUAUAGGACUUAAGUAUAUGAGAUGAUCAGUAUAGUAGUUGUUGGUUUUGAGUGCGAUGCAAUGAUAUGCAGCUGUGUGUACUGUGUUGAAUCUGUUUGAGUGAUAUAGCUGCUUGGGAUCAUGAUUUUAUGGUCUGCAUAAAUACUGUUAAAAAUAAUCAUAUGCCUUGAGUCUGAUUGGGCCUUUGUAUGUGCAUAAAUUGGAAAAGAAUAUGAAAUAAGAGAAAUAAAAUGAGAAUAGGAAAGGAAAUUUACGUUUCUGCAUAGAUUCGGUGAGCAUGCAAUGAGUAUAUAUAUAAAGGUAUGCAAGUUUGAAAAUAAAAUAAAAAUUGUGGUUUCAUUGAGCUCUGUAAUUGGUGUGAGAAGAAUAGUAUAUUAAAUGCAUGAAACUAUCAUUAUUUGUUAUUAACCUUCUCGUGAGUAGGUUGCAACUUUUCUUUCUUUUAGCAUGCAGUGCAAACUGUUUUAUGCCAAUUAAUUACCCUAUUUUUAUUUUAUAUGAUUUCCCUUUUAUAAAUAUGGUGCAGAGGUUUGUUUUCAAUUAAUGGCUUAGAGUUUGUAAUUUAAUUUUUUACAAAACUUGGAUUAUUAAAUGUGGUACAGUAUACGACUUUUUACAAGGAUCAUAUUAUUCGUUUUUUUAUUAAUCAAAAUAUACACCAUUAAUUAUACUUUAUAUGGAAACCUGGAAUGUAGCAUAUUUUUUUAAGGUAUAUUAUUGAUUUAGAGUUGGGGCAUUGAAGUGGGGCCGCUUCUGAUAAUAAAAGUUACGUGUGUGUAUAUAUACAUAUAUAUAUAUAUAUAUAUAUAUAUAUAUAUAUAUAUAUAUAUAUAUAUAUAUGUAUGUAUGUAUAUAUAUAUAAAUUUAUAAUAUAUUGUAUGAUGUUACGUAUAUAAAUUUAUAUAAUAUUAUAUUGAGUGUUACGAAAAGGAAAAGAAGGGAGAGAUAUACGUCCAGGAGCUUUUAUAAUAUAUAGAAAAGCAAAUGUUUAGUACUUUUAGUUGAAUGAAUGGUGUGGUUCUUGUUGGGGUUUAAUAUUUCACAAACUUUGUUUACAGUGUGUUUAUAGUAUGAUGCAAUAAAAGGGUAAUUGACAUUGUAUUUGUGAAUGGAAUAUAUUUACGUUAUGGGUGAUAAACACAUAUUAUUGCGAGUAUGCAUGAAAGGUAAUUAGUAUGGUGUUACUAACCUUUUGAAUGGUUUGUAUAAUAUCUAUUAUUGAGAAUGUGUAUUGAUUGGUGAACAAUGCAUGUUAUUGAUGAGUUAGUGUCUAUUAUUGAAAUUAAAGGUGAAAGGUGAAAGGUGAUGAGAGUGUGUUAUAAGUCUUGUGAUCGGUGAGUAAUGUCUAUUGUUGAGACUAUGUAUAUUUUGAGAAUAGUGAGAUAAAUCUUAUGAUUUGUGGAGGAAUGUAUGAUAAUGAGAAUGUAUAUGAAAUUGUGAUGUGAACAUGAAACUAUGUCAUCUUCCUCCUACUGUUGUUGUUUGUGUGAGCCUUUCGUAUUGCGAUACGAUAAGGAUGUUGGGUCCCAUGUAGAGAUAGAGAUUUGAGUGUCACUUUCUUUUGCGCAAGGAAGUCAAUGUCUCGCCCAAAGGGCUUUUCGAUAAGUCGGGGAGAUAGGUCUGAAGUUGCGAUGGAGGACGACUCGAAUCGCCCUGUUUUGCGUAACAGGUUGGGACAACAAAGUACAAGGAAAUGACAUUGGUUUAUAGAUGGAUUGGUGUGAUAUUGUCUAGGCGUGGAGAUAUGAAUUCAGUACUUGGUAUAGACUGUGUUUGAUGUUGUUUUACACUUAUAUUUUAUGAUGAUGUUUUUGGUUGCUCACCCUUGCAAUGUUUGUGGUUGUGGUUUCCACCUACGAUGAUCGUACUUCUACGGGAGUAAAUGGCGUUGCAGAUAAAAUCAGAUUGAAGUGGCUGACGAGAGUUGGGAUAUUUGAUUUCGGGAUUAAUUCUUUAUUAUUUAAAGAGUUUUCAGAUUUGCUGUAAAUUUAUGUAAAAGUG
rnacentral:lncRNA from 1 species